rnacentral:sRNA from 1 species
AUAAACAUAUUGGUUACAUAAGAUAACUCGGUUAGAGUUGGAGGUUAAUUCAGAGUUGGUGGUAAGUUUAUUCACAACAGAGAUUAGUUAUUUUCAUCUGUUGUCGUUCCUAAUACAUUUGUGCUAUGACUUUUUAUCGAUGGACUGGAUAGUCGAUAUUUUUCAUAUGUAUAAAGAGAUUAACCGUCUAGCCGGCGGAUUAACUAACUAUGUAUUUUCUUUAUUGCUUAGUUUUUAUUCUUUUAUUGUAUGUCCGGAUAUCAUGC